AUCAAAUUACUCCGAUUUCUAGUUUCCUCGCUGUCUCUCUGCUUCGUCCCGAAAGUCAGUCUGCCUACAAAAACGUGCAUUUGUAUCAAUGCAGAAAUGAAGAGGAUUGUAAAUGAUGGAGACGCUUGACGUGACAUUGAGCUGAGAGAGUGCGCACAGGCAGGGAGGGAGAGACCUGGGAUGCGCGAGCGUCUGUCAGCCAAUCAUCCGCUAAUCAGAGAGCUCAAAUUAAAAGAGUGCGUGUUUGGAGUCGAGGACGGGAUGAUGGCGCAGAGCCGGAGUGAUUGUGAACUUCACCAGUGCUCACAGUAAUGUAUGUUUACUGGAAAAGGAGAGAGAAAUCUGAUGUUUUACAUGCCAGAAAAACAAACCGAGAAAACGUGAAGAAAGAGACUGGUCAAGCGCAGCUCUUCCU